AAUAAAUAUUUCAAUAUAUUAAUAUAAUGAGUGGAAUACAUGGAAUGAGUGGAAUAAACAAUUCUUCAACUGUUAGUUCAUUAGUAAUGGUUCCUAACUGUGUUUACAUUUUCCAAACAAUGUAGCAACAUUGUGCAUUAAUAUAUCAUUUGUGUUUAAAGGUGUGUGUCUGUGUUUGAUGUGAAUAGUUACAUGGGUACUACAACAUGAACAUGGUUUAUGAGGACACUUCCUGUGUGUCUGUAAACCAUGGCUUAAAAAAAAAAAAAAUCCUACUAAUGGUAAACAAGUUACUUUCACCAGCUGAAAUCAGUGAAGCUCAAGGCUUUAGCAUCAUGUCUUUUGCGCUGUGAGAAUAUUGUAUUUGUUGUCUGCCACCAAACUGACACAUCACAGGUGGUGCUACAGAUGUUCCACACACCCACAACGUUUGUUCCUCCUGUCAAACUCCAGUCCCCUAAUGAGACACUUUCACCCAGAGGGAGUGUGGGUCAUACAGAGAGAGAGAGAGAGAGGGAGAGAGAGAACAACACAAGGUGAUAACAAUAUACUAUAUAAUAGUUUCUUAUAUUAUCAAAAGAGUACAAUACCUUAGAUGCACAGUAAACUACUUUAAAAUGAGUAGAUUGUCGCAAGUUGUACUGUUGAGUAGCUAGUUGAAGUAUCCUCCCCAAUACUAAUGUUGUUGUGAUUAUUAUUAUUAUUAUUAUUUUUUAAUGUGAUUACAAUUUUAUUUAAAUAUAUUGUGUACAUAGAAACUACUUCAAUUUAACAUUAAAUAUAGCAUUAAACAAUGAUGAGCUUUUGAACACUACAUCAUUGGAAUGUUCCAUGCCAAGCUGAAUCCAGACAAACUGUCACAUCUGUCUUACAUACUUCCAUGGCGCAGCACCCCUAUGCUUUUCGGCCCCCAUUCCAUGCCUGGUUUCCAUGGCAACACUAAUAAGAAGUGAAGAGGCUUCUCAGCUCCCUAACCACCCGGGUCUUGCUUUUAAAAGGCGGAAUAUUCUUGCUACACCACCACCAGCGCUGGAAACGGUGAAAUGUAGAGCUAAUGUUUCACAGUGGGUGCGCUGGUUGAGAUGUCUGCUAUUAUGUUGUCUACUUUCCCAGCCACAUUUGCAGAUCGCUGUGAGAUUUCCAGGACCCCAGGAGUCACACAAAUUAAUUUAAAAAUAAUUUGUCCUGUUCUAUUUUCACUAUCAUGCCUUCACCACAUGGAUAGAUUUCCAGACAUCUAAUAAAACAGGGUGGCAAAGAAUGUCCUACA
ensembl:lncRNA